UACGAAGGGGGCUAGCGUUGCUCGGAAUCACUGGGCGUAAAGGGUGCGUAGGCGGGUCUUUUAAGUCAGGGGUGAAAUCCUGGAGCUCAACUCCAGAACUGCCUUUGAUACUGAGGAUCUUGAGUUCGGGAGAGGUGAGUGGAACUGCGAGUGUAGAGGUGAAAUUCGUAGAUAUUCGCAAGAACACCAGUGGCGAAGGCGGCUCACUGGCCCGAUACUGACGCUGAGGCACGGAAAAGCGU
rnacentral:rRNA from 1 species